rnacentral:misc_RNA from 1 species
UUUUGUUAUUAAAAGAACAGCGAGAAUCUUAUCGCAAUAAUUUAGUAAAGCACAGAACUAGACAGAAAAAAAUUUUUUUCUUCGUUAUUCCUUUUUAUACCGGACAGCGUGAACGUUGUCUUAUCUAAAUCUAUAGUGGAAAUAAAGAUAUACGUGUAGUAGGAAACUUUCUCUCAUAAGAUACUCUUCCAAUAUAAACAAAUACGGAAUAUCAUGGAAACAGCUAUGCAAGGAUGUAGAAUUAGAACUAAUUGAAAUUUAUUACCACUCUGUGUUGGUUAUGUCGUAGUUAAGUUCUUUCAUUCACUCUUUUAAAUUUGAAGCAAAGAUUCCUAAUCAUGUAUCCUGAAAAGCUAACUCUCACCUUUGCAGACUACAUUGUGAUUGGGGCAGCGUUGGUCAUAUCUUCUAUCAUUGGUCUUUUAUUUCAGUUCAUCAAUAAUGGUAAUACCAAUAAAGAAUACCUUCUAGCUGGAAGGAAUAUGCCAGUGUUUCCUGUCAUAUUAUCUACAAUGGCCACAUUCAUGUCUGCUACAACUCUGAUGGGGAUUCCUGUUGACACUUACUUAUAUGGAACAAACAUGCUUUUUAUGAACAUCGGAUUUAUUCUUGGACCAAUAAUAGCCGCGUAUGUUUUCCUGCCAGUUUACUUUGCCAGUGAUAUAUCCACUGUUUAUGAAUACUUGGAGAAGAGAUUUGGGAAAGUAUUAAGAAGAAUAUUAUCAGCAGCUUUCAUGGUAGUAAACAUUUUAUUCAAUUCUGCCACCCUAUACGCACCAGCUUUAGCUUUGAACGCUGUUACGGACAUUUCUCUAUGGGUGUCUAUUAUUACUAUUGGAGUAGUCUGCACUUUUUACUGCACUUUGGGUGGUAUGAAAGCUGUGUUGUGGACGGAUUCGUUUCAAGCUGUUCUUAUGUUCAUUUGUUUGUUCGCAAUAAUUAUAAAAGGAACUAUUGAUCUUGAUGGUCUUGAAAAUGUUUUUAAAGAAGCAUACGACGGAGGCCGAAUUCUUUUACCGAAGUUUUCGAUGGACAUGGCAUCUCAGUACACUAUGAUAAACAUUUUUCUGCUUGGAAUGAUAGUCACAAUAUCGUCAUAUGGAGGAAGUCAAGUACAAGUUCAAAGAAUGCUCACUUUGAAGUCUUUAAGUGAAUCACGAAAAACAAUAUUUUGGAGUAUACCACUCAUCGUUGCUUUACAUGUGCUUUGCUGUCUAACGGGAAUAAUUUUCUAUGCUUAUUUUCGCCAUUGUGAUCCACUAACAGCGCCAAACAAGCCUAUACAAGCUGCCGAUCAAAUAAUGCCAUAUUUUAUAACGAGAACAAUGCAGGCUUAUCCAGCGUUGCCAGGAUUGUGCAUAGCAGGAAUUUUCAGCGCAUCCUUAAGUACCAUUUCAUCUAUUUUGAAUUCGUUAGCUGCUGUAACAGUUGAAGAUUUUAUCCGUCCCAUGAGGCCAAAUAUCUCUCACGAAGUUUUGAUAACAAAAAUUAUCUGUUUGUUAUAUGGAGCCAUAUGCAUUGGCUUUGCUUUUGUAAUGUCAUCUAUUGGAAGCUUAAUCAAAAUGAAUGCGAUAAUCUAUGGAAUGUUCGCUGGACCUAACCUAGGAGUAUUUAUUUUGGCAGUUAGCACAAAGGCUUCUAAUGAAGAGGGAACAAUCAUUGGAUUUGUUACAAGCCUUGCUAUUGCUGCCUUCUUAAGCUUCUCUCCAAGGAAAGAAAAAUCAGCUCUUCUUUCACUAUCAAAUGAAUGCCCAGAGUUUGAUAUAAUGAAUUCAACGACUGCUUAUAGUUUAGCUCCUACUUCUCAGCCUACGAAUUCUACAAUAGAAACUCCAGAAGAGACGCUGCAGAUUCCUAUAUCUUACAUGUGGAUUUCUAGCAUUGGAUUUUUCAUCUGUUUGAUUAGAAAAAAUACGAUGUUCCUGAUAUAUACUUAAGUCCUGUACGCACAUGGUUCUCCAAAAGGGAAGCCUUUGAGAAAGAAAAUAAUUUCGAUAGAACUUCUGCCGUUGCAGACAGCAAAAAUGAUUUUCCAGUUAGCUUACACCAGGAGACCAGGUUUUAGGACAGUCAGUGAUGCAUAUUCUAAAUGAUGUUUUUAAAAUUUUCAUUAACAAUCUUGUCUUAGAUUUUUGAAAUUUUUAAGAAGCAAAUAAUUUUGCUAUAAAAGAAAAACAUAAGCAUUAAAAAAAUUUUUAUUCUAUGCAGUGCUUUAGUGGAAUAAUAUAGAUACUACUUAAUAUUUCAAGCUGUUAUAUUUUAUCUUUUAAAUAAAAUAAAUACUAUGAAUUUAAUGACAGCAAAAAGUGAUUAAAGUUAGAAUGUGAAAUUAAGAACAUUUUUUGCUAGUCACUUUAAUUUAAGAGUACUGGUCUGUAGACUUGGUCAGUUUUGCAGAAUUAGAAUUUCUUUAAUUAAAUAUUUUGUAUAUACAUUAUUACAAAUAUUACAUUUGGGAAAAUAGAAAAAUAAUUUAUGUCUGUUUCUUAUUACGUUGUUAAUAAGUAUACAUGAAAAAAGAUUUUUUAUAGAAAAUAACAGCUGAUUUUUCUUUUUAGAGAUUAUUUUUUUAGUGUAUCGGAAUUUCAAACUUUACAUAUUCUUACUUAAGUUUAAAAUACUUCUUCUGUAUUUUAUAAUUUGUUUAAUAGCUGAGGGGUUCAAAUUACUACUAUAUAAGAACAUUUAAAACCAUUCUGUUUUUUUACACCGUGAAACAAGUAUGGAGGUUCUGGUUAUACGGGAACACCCUCAAAAAAUGAAAAAUAAAAUAUUGUCUUAUAAUAUGUGAGAAAAUUUGGUAAACGCAGUAAUUUGGAAAUUUUAUCAUGAUACCUUAGAAAAAGGAAUAAAAACCAUUUAUUUGAUCGAAUUUACUUUUCAGUUUUGCAUUUCUCUUUGUGUAGCAAUAUGGUUUAGACUUUUGAAAAUCAAAACUUCCGUUAAACCAUUACCAUAUUAACGGAAAAAUUACCAAAUAAAUAGUUUAAAUAUGAUAUAUUUUGACUUUAUUAACCAUAAUUAUAAGUUUUUUUAUAUCAGAAAUGUCAUUACCAUACAGUACGACAAUUUUACCAAAACUUUUUCUCCACAUAUAAGGAGAUAUAGGUAUAGGAUAUGUAUAUAAAGCAUUAGAAAGAAAAACAUACUUUGUGCUCCAGUCUCACAAUGAAGACUAAAAUGAGUCAACUAUAAUCUCGACAGUAACAAUAAAAUUAAUGAUGUUUUCUUGUGUGACUAAUGAAGAAAACCGUUAAAUAAAAUUUUAUUAAUAAAUUACACAUGCAUAAAUAAUUUGUUUUUAUGUUUUGCCAUCAUAUGUGUAUUUUAUUAUUGUUUCUUUUUAUAGUUAAGCUAUAGAAUGAUUUUAUUCAAUGUAUUUUUUGAAAAGACGAUUUACAAGUGUUCACAAGAAUGUGUUUUUAAAAAUUCAGAAUACACAACUGUAAAUAGUAUAAAAAAAUUUAUUUUGUACUCUAAUUUUAAAAAUAAAAAUUUAUAAUUUAUUGGUUUUACAGUAUUAUUAAUUCUUUGAAAAGAAGCUAGUCACAGAUGCACUAAAGAGAAUGAAGUGUGCAUAAUAAAUACAAGAAAAGAAAUUAAAUAGUUUCUACUUUAAGUCAUUUUAUUCAGAUUAAAAAAUAAUUACAAAAUUUUGUAACAUAAAAAUUAUAUACAAGGUAUUACGCAAUCACAAACUUUCAUAAAUAUUUUAAGAGUUUUAUUCAAAAAAUUAAGUUUAAGAGCAUUCAUAUUCGGUGCUUAAAAGCUAAUUUGCCUUCCAAAUGUGUUUGC